UACUUGAACAGGAUCUGUUCUAUAGGAUCGUACCUCUGUAUCCUUGAUCACUAAGGAGACAGGACCUAAACCUGGUUGAAGAACCAUGGCUGUGCGAUCAGAGCGUGAUUAACGAACCUGAUCCUUUGCGAAGGAUCAGGCUGUAGAGGAUCGUUCCCAGCUUAGGUUCGCCCAGCUGGGAUGGUCGUACGGUUGUCUGACAGGUUCCCGAAAUCUUUUUGCUAAUAUCUCGUCCUGGCCUGCAUGGCUUCCGAGUCCCUUAUGAAAUUGUUUUUGGCUCUUUAGGCAUGUAUAGCUUUUAAUCUGUAAAGUGCUGUUAGGCUAGUCUGGUAUAUAUCCCUUUGAUGUACCCAAAAAAAUGUCCUUAACAUUAGAAACAUAUGUACUUGGGACUAAUGUUCUUGAUAUGCUCUGACUUGAAUGUAAAGUUAAUGUCAUCGUGUAGUCCUGUUUAUCUUAUUCGAAUCUGGCACAUCUUUUAUGCCCAA